GGCCAGACUACCACCAGGGUCAUAAAACUACUCCUGGAAAUGCCCACAACUCCUACGAAAGCCUUGUCAAAUAUGUGUUUCUAGGUUCACGGUACAAAGGAAGGGUCAAACUACCACCAGGGUCAUAAAACUACUCCUGGAAAUGCCCACAACUCCUACGAAAGCCUUGUCAAAUAUGUGUUUCUAGGUUCACGGUACAGAAGAAGGGCCACACUACCACCAGGGUCAUGAAACUACCCCUGGAAAUGCCCACAACUCCUACGAAAGCCUUGUCAAAUAUGUGUUUCUAGGUUCAUGGUACAAAGGAAGGGUCAAACUACCACCAGGGUCAUAAAACUACCCCUGGAAAUGCCCACAACUCCUACGAAAGCCUUGUCAAAUAUGUGUUUCUAGGUUCACGGUACAGAAGAAGGGUCACACUACCACCAGGGUCAUAAAACUACCCCUGGAAAUGCCCACAACUCCUAUGAGAGCCUUGUCAAAUAGGUGUUCUUGGUCUACGAAAAGUCUUAUGAUACAACCUUAUAAGUGUUUACUGUUGGAAGUUCGCUCUGGGUGAAUCGCUUAAUACUGGCGGCGGGUCAAGCUAAAUGGGUGGUUUUCUUAAUUCGUGACAAUGGAAACUGUUCUCUUAGCUCAUAAUAAUACUUGCUGUUAAUACAUAGGCCCUCAAACUGUCUCCAAAUAGGGCAACCAUAACUGCUAAAUUCUGUUUCAGUGGUCCAUUAAAUUCUGGUAAUUCCCACACCUUUUUUCCAUAGCUGUUGAUACUCAAGGCUAAUGAUUGUAUGACAGUAAUCUUGGUGUCAAAUUAAAACUGUCUAUUAUGCUGUUGAAAUAUAUUAUUUUUCCAUA